CCUCCGGUGAUGAAAGAAAUUAUGACUUUCGUUCUUCUGAAAGCCAUGAUGUAAUGUUUUGUUUAAACUGAGGAGG